rnacentral:lncRNA from 1 species
UUUCUCCAUAUACCAGGCAUUGAUUUUUUUUAUUGCAUUUUGAAUAUUCUGGCAAAAAAACAUUCCUUACCAAGCAGUGAUCAAGCCAAGAAAGCUCUCAACAGUCAGUAUUUGAUACCAUUAAGAGUCCAGGAAAGGGAAUGCAAUUCUCUCUUUUAAUGCCCACAAAAUUUUAAUAAUUGCUGAAUAGAUGUCUACAAAACUGAAAGAACUUAAUUUUUUUUUUUUGGUUUGUGUUUUGGCUUUUAAAAAUUCUAAUUAUCUUGAAAAGUGUAAAGAAGAACCAAAGCAAAAGCAGAGAUAUUUAAGAUGAUUUUUGCCAUCAAAUCAUAUGGUGAUCAUUUUUACAAUGGAUUAUUACCUUUCAUUUUUUAAUAAAGAAAAACCUCAAACAAAUGUCUGCCAGUUGGUCAUAGACAUCUGUGGGUGAUCUAUUCGCCUUUUUUCUUUAUAUAAUUCAUUUUCUAAAUCAAAGGUUUUAAUGGAAAAGGACAUUUAUAAUAGAAAAAAUUCAAGCCAGAACAUUCUUACAUUUCUGCUUUGCUAAUAACAUUGAGCAAAGAGAACCCUUAAUAAUUAUCAGAAUAAUUAGAAUUAUAAUAAUGCCUGGGAUCAAUAAAGUGUAUAGACAAUAAAUAGUGACUGAAUGACUCAGGGCUACUUGGCAAUUCAAGAAACCCACUUCAUAAAACACGUGAAACUUGCUCUGAGUACCUCAUUGUUUUGGUAUGAUGAGGCAUGGAGCUGAUAUGUGUUAGGCAUCUUCCUUCAUCUUACUAACAAAUAGUCAAGUAUACAGUGACUCCAUCUUCUGUGUGGGAAAAGGUAAACAGUUUCCUUGUUUUGUUUAUCUGGGGCAUGCGUGUUCUGCUAGGAAUGUAAAGUAGGUGUUCUAUUCAUUCUCUGGAACUCUGUGUCAUCUAAUACUGAAGGCUGUACCUGAGAUACCCAGGCUACUUGAAACAACAUGUUUCCCAGGAUCUGGCUGCUUCAGUUGGCUAGGAGGGAGACUUCUAAAGAACUUCUAUUAGUGGUCUGUUCUGUCAAGUCAACUCAAGUUAAGUACCUACUAUGUGCCAGAAAACAAAUGGACAACAUUGGUAUGUUCGUGGAUUCAAGAAGAGUCAGACAACAACAAUAUAUGGAAGAAGCAAUGCUGGAACAAAUAAUUGACAAUUUGUUUUCCUUUUCUUUCAAAUAAGAUACUGUCCUGCUGUAAACUUGGUUAAAAAAAAUUGAGAAUUACAAAAGUAUUAGCUUGUUCUGGUUUUUCUGUAAAAACUUAACUAUUCUGACAGAUUCUAAUAUUUGUACUCUUCCUUUUGCCUCUGGUGAAGGUGGUGGGAUUGUUUUUGCUAGUCAUAUUACCUCAAGUUUUAGUUAAUUUAGUGUCAUAUGAAAGGACAAGUUGUAAGAGAUUGGUCAUAGCAAAAACCCAAUCAUUAUCUUUUAAAAAUAGCACCUUUCCUCCUCAAAGCUCUUCAGGAUGAACCCUAUAAUCAAAAGCUUGCUCUAACACAUUCUGAAAGAACACUUCAUCAUUUUAUUGUCUCUCUAAAUAAUUAUCUAAACCAUUAAUACUGGGUACUUUACACGAUUCUUUGCAAUGUUAAUUAACCUAUGCUCCAUGAACUUUUCUUCACAUAGAAUAGAGCCCAUAAACAUUGGUGGUAUGUUGUGGAAAGAAACUGGCUCUGAAGUCAUGUUCUUUUUUUCAUGAUUUAACCUUUGCUAUGUAUAACCUGUGUGACCUUGAAUAAGGACCUUCUCCCCUUGUCACUCAGUUAUAUUAUUUUAUAAGGAGAGGGUUGGACUAUAGGGUCAACCAACAUAGAGUGCUUACAUUGUGCCAGGUUGAAUAUUGUGCUAAAAGUUAUCUUUUUCAGACCAAAUCCCAUGAGUCUAUGACAUUCAUAUCCAAUUAUAGACUGUUCUGGUCCUUUUAGGCCCUGUACUUCAACCAUUGGAGAGGGUGGCUUUAUAUUGACUCAGAUUUUGUUUCCAAUGUGGAAUUCUUCCUUCCACUUUGUGUUAAAAGUUCCCUAAUCUCCCUCCCCCCCCAGAUAAUUUGUUUUAGCAUGCAUUACAGGUCUCUUAUCCUGAAACAUAUUUGUGAAAUUAAACUCUGACUGGCAGAGUACAAGUCAAAUUGACUAAUUGAUAGGAAAUAAUAUAUUUAUCCAGAAAAGAAAAUGAAAAAUAAAGAAAGGGGGGAGAGGUUCUGAACCUGUGGA